rnacentral:rRNA from 1 species
UACGGGGGGGGUAAGCGUUGUUCGGAAUUACUGGGCGUAAAGGGCUCGUAGGCGGCCAACUAAGUCAUACGUGAAAUCCCUCAGCUUAACUGGGGAACUGCGUGUGAUACUGGAUGGCUUGGAUUUGGGAGAGGGAUGCGGAAUUCCAGGUGUAGCGGUGAAAUGCGUAGAUAUCUGGAGGAACACCGGUGGCGAAGGCGGCAUCCUGGACCAAUACUGACACUGAGGAGCGAAAGCCAGGGGAGCAAACGGG